CAGAGGGAAUUCCUGGUGUAGCGGUGAAAUGCGUAGAGAUCAGGAAGAACAUCGGUGGCGAAGGCGCUCUGCUGGACCAUAACUGGCACUCAGGGACGAAAGCUAGGGGAGCGAAUGGGAUUAGAUACCCCAGUAGUCCUAGCCGUAAACGAUGGAUACUAGGUGUUGUCUGUAUCGACCCGGACAGUGCCGUAGCUAACGCGUUAAGUAUCCCGCCGUGGGGAGUACGGCCGCAAAGGUUAAAACUACAAAUGAAUUGACGGGGGCCCGCACAAGCGGUGGAGCAUGUGGUUUAAU
rnacentral:rRNA from 1 species